AUGUAUAUUUUGAGGCCCAUUUUUUCUCUCUAUUGUUUUUCAGGUAGUAUCUCAAUGGGUAGACUGCGGAAAGUCUCUCGCAAGGAUGUUCCCCUAGUUUCUUCAGUCGAGAGCGCUGAUUCUUUGAGAGACCCUUAUGUGCCUAAUGAUUUUGCUGAUGAUGGUUCUAAUGCUAUGUCUUUGGGAGGUUGUUCUGGUGAUGAUGAAGAGUUUGAUAAAGCACUUUACAAUUUCUAUCCGAAUAAUGAAGUAAAGUACCUGAAGAGAAAAUUAUCAUCUGCUGGCAGAAGGAAUGUUGUAAGUCUUUUUUUCUCUUCCGUUAAUCAUUGGGUCAUUUGUAUGGUACCUACACUGUAA
rnacentral:rRNA from 1 species